AGUCCAGUUGCACCUUUGGGUUAUGUGACAACUCAGAUGUGAAUUUUUCCUCUAUUUACAGUGAACUGCAUUGCCUGCCAGGAGGAGAUAUUGAAAGCUUACAUCAGCAAAGAAUAAGUAAUCUGAGAUGAGUGAUCCUUUCAUUGAUUGAGGACUUUUUACAGCAACUUGAAGACUGAAAAAUUUCCAAAUAUUUCACUCUCUUUCCAUUCAGUGGAUCUGUUGGAUUAAAGCACUUUCUGUCAGUGAGAGAAUGCUAAUUAGAGACAAUCUAAUAUUCACUCCUAUUCCAUUCAGUGCUUCUUCUACUGGAUUAAAGAGCUUUCUGUCAGUGAGAAGAAGCUAAUUAGAGACAAUCUAUGUUCUUUAUUUGGAAAGAGCCCUGGGACCGGUUGCUGUGAUGCAAAUGAUUGUCCAUUAGAGGUGUGUCAUGCUGUGGAAUUUUGACAAGGUAUAGAAGGCAUAACACAGAAAGAUUUUUCAUAAGGUGGCAUGGCUCAAUUUUCAGCUGACUGGCUUGUACAGUUUACGCAGAUCCAUAGGUUUCAGGUAAAAGGCACAAAUUAGUUUUGUUUCAACUACAAAAUUAUGCAGUUCUAGCCAUGGGGGAUGGAAAUAAGUAUGAGAAUAAUAGAUAUUUUACUAUCUCAAAUGCUUGCCGUGUAAAAGUGAAUGAAUGUGGUCCAACAUUUUUAAAGUGCUGAUUCCUGUGAAUCUUUGAUUGUAGAGGAGAAUUUUCUUAGCUUUGGUUCUGAGCAGAACACUGUGGUAGUCAGUCUAUAAAAUCUGCAUGAUUAUAAUGCUGUCUUAAUUAAAAGCAUUCCUUUUUCCACACAGCUGUUAAAUGAAUGCUUGGAGACCUUUAAAAGUCUUUAUUCUUUCUUUUCUCUGUACUUUCUCUGGCAAACUUAUUGAAUACAAAGAAGCUAUCUAUGUUAGAGAUUUGUGUUAAUUAUGAAAUUGCAUGAAUAAACAGUGUAUAAAUGCUCUGUA